AGCAGCAAAGCAAACAUACCAACUAUCUUUUAAGAAAGUCAGCUAAAUGCUACUACAGGCCACUUACACUUAUAUCUCAUUACCAGGAUCUAGUUUCAUGACCAGCCAAAUUUAACUGCAAGGGUGUUUAGAGAAUGUAGAUUUCAUUCUGGAUAGUCAUAUACUGACCCAAAUAUUCUGGAAGUUAGCAAUGAUAUGAAGAAGGAUUCAACUUGCAGUUAUCAGAAUGCUGUUGUAAUUUGAUGAACAAGCAGUUUGCAUGAUGGAAGCCAUAUUUUCAGUGCAUCAUUCUAAAGCAGUAUGAAGCAGGAAAUGGAGGGCGAAGAAAGAAAGGCUAUGGAGGCAAAGAAUAACAAAGCCUGAUGUGGAAAUGGUCAAAAGUUAAAAGAAUAUAAAUUUCACAUUAACUGGUACUACCAGAAAAGGGUGGAGAUUCUACCCCUUUGGAUUUUUAGACCCCAAAGAUGCAAGAGCUGAACAGCAACUUCCUGAGGCUAUUUUAUCAUUGUGUUUGGAAACAUUAUGACCACUGAUAUUCCAUGAGAUAAUGUGUCAUCUGACA